rnacentral:rRNA from 1 species
GUGGGGAAUUUUGGACAAUGGGCGCAAGCCUGAUCCAGCCAUGCCGCGUGCAGGAUGAAGGCCUUCGGGUUGUAAACUGCUUUUGUACGGAACGAAACGGCUCUUUCUAAUAAAGAGGGCUAAUGACGGUACCGUAAGAAUAAGCACCGGCUAACUACGUGCCAGCAGCCGCGGUAAUACGUAGGGUGCGAGCGUUAAUCGGAAUUACUGGGCGUAAAGCGUGCGCAGGCGGUUUUGUAAGACAGGCGUGAAAUCCCCGGGCUCAACCUGGGAAUUGCGCUUGUGACUGCAAGGCUGGAGUGCGGCAGAGGGGGAUGGAAUUCCGCGUGUAGCAGUGAAAUGCGUAGAUAUGCGGAGGAACACCGAUGGCGAAGGCAAUCCCCUGGGCCUGCACUGACGCUCAUGCACGAAAGCGUGGGGAGCAAACAGGAUUAGAAACCCUUGUAGUCC